rnacentral:misc_RNA from 1 species
GCGAGUAUAACUCUCUAAAACCAUUGUGAACGAACGAACCCGUUGCUUCGGCGGACGGCUCCUGCUGCCGCCGGAAGAACACAAACUCUUGUUAUUAUUGUUUCUCUGAGUACUUAUUCAAUAAGUAA